GGAGAAUUGCUUGAACCUGGGAGAUGGAGGUUGCAGUGAGCUGAGGUCACGCCACUGCACUCCAGCCUGGGCAACAGAG
rnacentral:miRNA from 1 species